rnacentral:rRNA from 1 species
CUUGCUUCUCUUGAGAGCGGCGGACGGGUGAGUAAUGCCUAGGAAUCUGCCUGGUAGUGGGGGAUAACGUCCGGAAACGGACGCUAAUACCGCAUACGUCCUACGGGAGAAAGCAGGGGACCUUCGGGCCUUGCGCUAUCAGAUGAGCCUAGGUCGGAUUAGCUAGUUGGUGGGGUAAUGGCUCACCAAGGCGACGAUCCGUAACUGGUCUGAGAGGAUGAUCAGUCACACUGGAACUGAGACACGGUCCAGACUCCUACGGGAGGCAGCAGUGGGGAAUAUUGGACAAUGGGCGAAAGCCUGAUCCAGCCAUGCCGCGUGUGUGAAGAAGGUCUUCGGAUUGUAAAGCACUUUAAGUUGGGAGGAAGGGCAGUAAAUUAAUACUUUGCUGUUUUGACGUUACCGACAGAAUAAGCACCGGCUAACUCUGUGCCAGCAGCCGCGGUAAUACAGAGGGUGCAAGCGUUAAUCGGAAUUACUGGGCGUAAAGCGCGCGUAGGUGGUUCGUUAAGUUGGAUGUGAAAUCCCCGGGCUCAACCUGGGAACUGCAUUCAAAACUGACGAGCUAGAGUAUGGUAGAGGGUGGUGGAAUUUCCUGUGUAGCGGUGAAAUGCGUAGAUAUAGGAAGGAACACCAGUGGCGAAAGCGACCACCUGGACUGAUACUGACACUGAGUGCGAAAGCGUGGGGAGCAAACAGAUUAGAUACCCUGUAGUCCACGCCGUAACGAUGUCAACUACCCGUUGGGAGCCUUGAGCUCUUAGUGGCGCACUACGCAUUAAGUGACGGCUUGGGGAGUACGGGCCGCAAGGUUUAAAGCUCAAUGAAUUGACGGGGGCCCC